rnacentral:ncRNA from 1 species
AUACGAAAAGGGCAAACCUAUCGAAAGGUAGGGACGCAAAGCUAUAGGGCCUUCGAAAGAGUGGCAGCCUGGCUACCGAA